GAUGAACGCUAGCGGCAGGCUUAACACAUGCAAGUCGAGGGGUAGAGGCUUUCGGGCCUUGGGACCGGCGCACGGGUGCGUAACGCGUAUGCAACCUACCUUGAACAGGGGAAUAGCCCAGAGAAAUUUGGAUUAAUGCCCCAUGGUAUAUUGAGACGGCAUCGUCUUAUUAUUAAAGUCACAACGGUUCAAGAUGGGCA
rnacentral:rRNA from 1 species